rnacentral:rRNA from 1 species
UACGAAGGGGACUAGCGUUGUUCGGAUUUACUGGGCGUAAAGCGCGCGUAGGCGGAUCGCUAAGUCAGGGGUGAAAUCCCAGGGCUCAACCCUGGAACUGCCUUUGAUACUGACGAUCUGGAGAUCGGGAGAGGUUGGUGGAAUUCCGAGUGUAGAGGUGAAAUUCGUAGAUAUUCGGAAGAACACCAGUGGCGAAGGCGGCUCACUGGACCGGUAUUGACGCUGAGGUGCGAAAGCGUGGGGAGCAAACAGG